rnacentral:rRNA from 1 species
UACAGAGGGUGCAAGCGUUAAUCGGAGUUACUGGGCGUAAAGGGCGCGUAGGCGGAUGUUUAAGUUAGAUGUGAAAUCCCUGGGCUUAACCUAGGAACUGCAUAUAAGACUGGACAACUAGAGUACUGUAGAGGGUAGUGGAAUUUCCGGUGUAGCGGUGAAAUGCGUAGAGAUCGGAAGGAACAUCAGUGGCGAAGGCGGCUACCUGGACAGAUACUGACGCUGAGGCGCGAGAGCGUGGGGAGCAAACAGG